rnacentral:rRNA from 1 species
AGAGCUUGCUUUAAAGAAGUUAGCGGCGGACGGGUGAGUAACACGUGGGCAACCUGCCUGUAAGACUGGGAUAACUUCGGGAAACCGGAGCUAAUACCGGAUAAUAUAUAGUACCUCCUGGUACUAUAUUGAAAGUUGGUUUCGGCUAACACUUACAGAUGGGCCCGCGGCGCAUUAGCUAGUUGGUGAGGUAACGGCUCACCAAGGCAACGAUGCGUAGCCGACCUGAGAGGGUGAUCGGCCACACUGGGACUGAGACACGGCCCAGACUCCUACGGGAGGCAGCAGUAGGGAAUCUUCCACAAUGGACGAAAGUCUGAUGGAGCAACGCCGCGUGAGCGAUGAAGGCCUUCGGGUCGUAAAGCUCUGUUGUUAGGGAAGAACAAGUGCGAGAGUAACUGCUCGCACCUUGACGGUACCUAACCAGAAAGCCACGGCUAACUACGUGCCAGCAGCCGCGGUAAUACGUANGUGGCAAGCGUUGUCCGGAAUUAUUGGGCGUAAAGCGCGCGCANGCGGUUUCUUAAGUCUGAUGUGAAAGCCCACGGCUCAACCGUGGAGGGUCAUUGGAAACUGGGAGAC